GGCAAUGUGGUUCAGUUGUUAGAAUGUUUGCCUAGGAUGCAAAAACUCUAAGGUUUAAUACUUAGCAUGGCAU
rnacentral:tRNA from 1 species